UGAUCAUGGCUCAGGAUGAACGCUGGCGGCGUGCUUAACACAUGCAAGUCGAACGAGGCACUUUGAUCGAUUUCUUCGGAUUGAAAUUUUAGUGACUGAGUGGCGGACGGGUGAGUAACGCGUGGGUAACCUGCCUCACACAGGGGGAUAACAGUUGGAAACGGCUGCUAAUACCGCAUAAGCGCACAGUACCGCAUGGUACAGUGUGAAAAACUCCGGUGGUGUGAGAUGGACCCGCG
rnacentral:rRNA from 1 species